AAAUGAAUUGACGGGGACCCGCACAACCAGUGGAGCGUGUGGUUUAAUUCGAGACAAAGCGAAAAACCUCACCAAGGCUUGACAUAUAUUUGACAACCUUAGAAAUAAGGCCUUCCUUCGGGACAGAUAUACAGGUGCUGCAUGGCUGUCGUCAGCUCGUGCCGUGAGGUGUUCCCUUAAGUGGGGAAACGAGUGCAACCCUUGUCUAAUGUUAAAUAUUCAUUAGAGACUGCCUCUAUUUUUUAGAGGAGGAAGGAAAGGCGGACGUCAAGUCAGCAUGGCCCUUAUGCCUUGGGCUACACACACCCUACAAUGGCGAAAAACAAAGAGUUGCAAGUUCGUAAGGACAAGCUAAUCUCAGAAAUUUCGUCUCAGUUCGGAUAGAGGUCUGCAACUCGACCUCUUGAAGUCGGAAUUGGUAGUAAUCGCGGAUCAGCGGGCCGCGGUGAAUACGUUAUCGGGUCUUGUACACACCGCCCGU
rnacentral:rRNA from 1 species